rnacentral:rRNA from 1 species
UACGUAGAAGACUAGUGUUAUUCAUCUUUAAUAGGUUUAAAAGGGUACCUAGACGGUAUAAUUAGUCUUAAACAGGAUACGAUUAUACUAGAGUUAUAUAUGAGGAGGUGAGUAUUUAUGCAGUAGAGUUGAAAUUCGUUGAUAGCAUAACGACUGGUAACGGCGAAAGCAACCUUUUAUCUAAUAACUGACGUUGAGGGACGAAAGGCUCGGGUAACGAACAGG